rnacentral:rRNA from 1 species
AGUGAACGCUGGCGGUAGGCCUAACACAUGCAAGUCGAACGGCAGCACAGUAAGAGCUUGCUCUUACGGGUGGCGAGUGGCGGACGGGUGAGGAAUACAUCGGAAUCUACUUUUUCGUGGGGGAUAACGUAGGGAAACUUAUGCUAAUACCGCAUACGACCUACGGGUGAAAGCAGGGGAUCUUCGGACCUUUCGCGAUUGAAUGAGCCGAUGUCGGAUUAGCUAGUUGGCGGGGUAAAGGCCCACCAAGGCGACGAUCCGUAGCUGGUCUGAGAGGAUGAUCAGCCACACUGGAACUGAGACACGGUCCAGACUCCUACGGGAGGCAGCAGUGGGGAAUCUUGGACAAUGGGCGCAAGCCUGAUCCAGCCAUACCGCGUGGGUGAAGAAGGCCUUCGGGUUGUAAAGCCCUUUUGUUGGGAAAGAAAAGCAGCAGGUUAAUCCCCCGCUGUUCUGACGGUACCCAAAGAAUAAGCACCGGCUAACUUCGUG